AGAACCUAGCUUUCCUUCCUGCCCCCAGGGCUAAUCCAGAGGUGGGGGAGGGGCUAAAGGCACUGGGCUCUGCCAGGGGCCUUGGUAGGUGCCAGUGACCCAUUCUGGGUAACCAGCUGUGGCCUGUUCUCUGUGUAUUUCUGCUUUUGUGGGUUUCUCUGGCUCUUCCUGCCUUUGAAUAUGUGCACCUGUGUUUCCUUCUAUCCGUCUCUCCAUGUAUGCCCUCUGUCCUGUGAACAGCUCUGUGACCCUGACUCUGGGAAGCUGUGGUUGUUGGCAGAAGGCAGGGACACCACUGGGUAAUGGGUCACACGAGUCUCAAUGACCGGACUGUGGUUGACAGAAAGUCUUGGGGACACAGAUUUGUAGCUGGCGUGGGGUUUUAGAUAACAAAGGGUCCAGAUGGCAAUGCAUUGGGGGUGACUCAGGGUUUGAGGGACAUAGGGUUAUUUGUAGUUGACACACAGAUUAGGUGAGCCUGAGCUGUGGCGAAUGCGGAGUCAUCUGGGUGACUCAGUGACAGCAAUUCGAAAAGAACCGGAAGGCGGCAGAACAGUAGCAGUGGCUUUCCACCCACCCUGGAAUGCGUGGCUGUGUCUGGAGGCAUUUUUAGUUGUAACACCUGAAGACAGGGGUGCCAAUAGCAUCUAGGGGGGCAGAGGCCAGGGAUGCUGUUCACUAUCCCACAAUGCACUGGAAACUCCCCAACAACAAAGAAUAAUCUGGCCUAAUGAACUGUAGACUCUGAAGCCAACUACCUAGGGUGAAAUCUCAGCUCCUGCACUCUGCAGCCAUGGGCAAAUUUCCUCAUCUCUAACAUGGGGUACCUGGAAAAUACCCAUCUAAGGUUGUUGGGAUUACUGAGCCAAUACUUGUAAAGUGUUCAAAAUGCCAGUGCUGUUUAUUGGUUCAGAGCUGGAGAAAACAAGAGUAGACCCGGAUGGAGGGACACAUCCAGGUUCCCCUUUCUCAUUUCAGCUUCUACUUCAGACAGGCUUUUUCCAUUGCCAAAGGCCACUUCAGUCUGAUAUCAUGUCAGUUUAAUGGUAUCAGAAGAAAAGAGAGCAGUGUUUCCCCGUUUUGAUGUAGCACUGUCCUUAUAAAUCCCGAAGAAUGGCUCUGCUUGGCUGAGCUUGGCCAUGAUCACCCAUAGUUUCUCGAGGUGCCAUGAUUGAGAUCGGAGCCACUUGCCUGGAGGAAGGACAGGCUGUUUUCCACAGGGGCGGGAUGUUCUUACCAGAAGGACAGAAGGCAGUUGAGUAACCAGGAUGACAGAUGCUGCUAUGCAAGGGUCGUGGGUGCACCUGGGUUGGCACAGCUUCUGAUCCAGGAGGAUUACAGGAUGAGCUUAUCAUGGAACAUAAGAAAAAUAAAACAGAUGUCAGCCUGUGUAUGAAGAAUUCAUCCACAAGAGCAGACCGAAGACCAUGAGACUUCCUACCCACGGUGAGCUAAAAGGACGCUUUUGUCAGAGUGGGGAAAUAAAAGGGCUUUAUGGGAAGGAAGAUAAGAACAGAUGAGUCAGAGGUUUCUGCUUAAUGCAAAACCAAGAAUCUUCUUGGGCUAGGCCCCAGUUUGGGGUUCACCUGCCUUGCAGCAACAUGGCACCAAACAUGGGGCAGAAGAGAGAAGACAACAGCAUGACAGACGGAGAAAGAAAUGGCAGUUGGCAAGGUGGUAAUGAGAGACGGCAGUUGGCAAGACAGUGAGAGACACCAAGAGAUGGCAAGUGACAGUUAUCGUUAAGAUGACAAAUGGAGAGAUGGCAAGAAAUAAAGAAGCAGUCAGUGAUGGAGGCUGCAAGAGUUGUAACACUAACCAAAGGCUCUUUUUAGAGCCAUCGUUUUCCCUGGCAGGUGGUACAGCCAAGCAGACAGGCAAGUGGCCAUACUGCUGCUGCCUCAUGUGGGAUUCGGCAGGCUGGUGGGUUAUCAGUCCUCACGUGGGACCCUCCCACCAUGGCAGCUGAGCGCAUCCAAGCUGGGGGAUCCUGAAGAGACCUUCACCUGGGUGCCAUGUGGAAGAUUGGUCAGCACCAUUUUGACUCCUGUGGAUGGCACCCAAACUGCACCUGGUCACCUGUCUACGUUCAGAUUUGGAUGAAACCCACACCAUGGAGGCAGCCAGAAGCCCAUGGGAGAUGUCUGGAUGCACAGAGGAAUAGCUCCAUGUGAUGCAAACCUUGACUAAUGGGAACAGGAAAAGGGAGGAAACCAGGAAGAUAAAUUUGCCUCCCUUCUCAUUGCUCCUUGCAACUCUUCCCACUUGAAGCAUGACCACAUUUAAUGAACAACCUGCUGUGUCUCUUGGAAGCUUGCUGCAAAGCAGCAAUCAGCACAAUAACAUUGUAUUGUAUCUUCCUCUGCUUCACUUCUCUUCCUCCCUCACCCUCACUGCCCUGAGCUGGCACAUCCCAAAGAAAGCACUACCACAUUAAUCCUUGUCUCAGACUCUGCUUUCAAGAGGAUCCAGGUGAAGGAAAUUCCUAUUACUCCACCUCUUUACCAACUCUUCAAAUGUCAGACUUUAAAAAUGGUGUCAUUUUGUUGAGUGUAUCUCAUUGUGGUUUUAAUUUGCAUGUUCCUGAUUACGAAUGGGGUUGGCUAACUUUUCCUAUGUUUAUUGGAUUUCUUCAUUUGUGAAGUGCUUAAGUUUUCUACUGAUUUUUCUAUUGGGUUGUCUCUUUUAUUUCUUUCUUUCUUUCUUUUUAAGACAGAAUCUUGCUCUGUUGCCCUGGCUAGAGUGCAGUGAUAUAAUCAUAGCUCACUGAAACCUCGAACUCCUGGGCUCAAGCAAUUAUCCCAUCUCAGCCUCCCAAGUAGCUGGUACUACAGGUGUGCACCACUACCACCAUGCCUGGCCUU